rfam:Onchocerca ochengi, WGS project CAWC01000000 data, contig: 10509_13324
UUCUUUCUGAAGUUUCCUCAGGAUAGCCGAAGUACGUAAUGAAGCUGUUAGAUUCGGUAAAGCAAAUGAUGAGAGAAAGGUACGAGAUGUCUUCAGCCUGUUCUCAAACUUUCAAUGAGUAUGACGUUUUGCUUGCUUGAAUGAAGCAUAGAUAUUGGAUGUUUGUUGCAAGGGGUCAUUUUUGGUAGGACCAAAUCAACUAGCGCUGAGAAUGGACGACGCUUGAGCAGAAGACUUAUACUUUUAUUCAACGUUUGGUUUAUCCCACAGCGCCAGUUCUGUUU